UACGGAGGGGGCUAGCGUUGUUCGGAAUUACUGGGCGUAAAGCGCACGUAGGCGGAUUGGUAAGUCAGAGGUGAAAUCCCAGGGCUCAACCUUGGAACUGCCUUUGAAACUCCCAGUCUUGAGGUCGAGAGAGGUGAGUGGAAUUCCGAGUGUAGAGGUGAAAUUCGUAGAUAUUCGGAGGAACACCAGUGGCGAAGGCGGCUCACUGGCUCGAUACUGACGCUGAGGUGCGAAAGCGUGGGGAGCAAACCGG
rnacentral:rRNA from 1 species